GGCAGAAUGGUCUAGUGGAAUGAGCAUGGUCUGGGGAGUCAGAGGACUUGAGUUCUAACCUCAGUUCUGCCA
rnacentral:tRNA from 1 species